GACGUAGGGCGCGAGCGUUUGUCCGGAUUUAUUGGGCGUAAAGAGCUCGUAGGCGGCUUGUCGCGUCGUUCGUGAAAACCUGCAGCUCAACUGCAGGCUUGCGGUCGAUACGGGCAGGCUAGAGUUCGGUAGGGGAGACUGGAAUUCCUGGUGUAGCGGUGAAAUGCGCAGAUAUCAGGAAGAACACCAAUGGCGAAGGCAGCUCUCUGGGACGGUACUGACGCUGAGACGCGAAAGCGUGGGGAGCGAACAGG
rnacentral:rRNA from 1 species